AGAAAAUUUGCACUGUCAGGUGAGUCUAUUGUUAAUCCGGAAUUACAACCUAUUGUAUCAUAUUGCUAAUUGUUUGUUUGCAUUUUUAUGUGACAGAGACCAUACUUGGUCCAAGGUGGCUUCCAGUCUUGGGUAAAACAAGGUAUCCAAGUCAAGGAGCUUAAACCUGAGACCGUGCUAACCAUACUUAAUGAGAGUGGGAGAAGACCUUACAAUUUAUUGCCAUCAUUGGCCUCAGUCAGGCGUUUGCUCUCUCCUGUUAGACUUGGAGUCCAGGCAUUUUCAUGUGCAGCAGGAAAACUGGAAAACAACCGCAUUGGUUUACCUACAUCACCUUCAUCUUCAGAUGUUCAAAACCGGGGGCUGAAAGCUGCUGCAAAGCAUGAAUCCCAACCAUCUGAAACUCAAGUUCUGAAUCCAUCACCUGAAUCAGUGACUCCAUUAAAUGAGAAAGUAGAUCUUUCAGAAGCAUAGGCAUCGAGGCGGCAUUUUCUGGAGUGUGGUGUAUAAUUCUGAUAACUUAACUGAGCUGUUCAUGUACAAAGAAUAAGAAACAUUCUAUCAGUGCUAACCUCUUGGAAAACAAAUUUUGUAUGUUAAUACCAGAUAAAAGAACAAGUUUUGUACAUUUCUCUAAUCAAGUGCAUUGAUAUCAUGUGCUCAGGAACGCCAACACAGGAGUGCUAUUAAUAAUGUAAUGAAUUAGGCAAAGAGAAUGUUUGCUGAUUAGUACUUAAAAAUGCAUUCUCAUUAAGGCUUUAUAUCAUCGUAUUGCACUAAAGUAUCGUUAAAUUCCCUAACUAAAGCAUGUUUUAUAAUAACAAGUCUAA